rnacentral:rRNA from 1 species
UACGGGAGUGGCAAGCGUUAUCCGGAAUUAUUGGGCGUAAAGCGUCCGCAGGCGGCUUUGAAAGUCUGUCGUUAAAGCGUGGAGCUUAACUCCAUUUCGGCGGUGGAAACUACAAGGCUUGAGUGUGGUAGGGGGUGAGGGAAUUCCUGGUGUAGCGGUGAAAUGCGUAGAUAUCGGGAAGAACACCAGUGGCGAAGGCGCUCGGCUGGGCCAUAACUGACGCUCAUGGACGAAAGCCAGGGGAGCGAAAGGGAUUAGAUACCCCUGUAGUCCUGGCCGUAAACGAUGAACACUAGGUGGCGGGGGAAUCGACCCCCUCGGUGUCGUAGCUAACGCGUUAAGUGUUCCGCCUGGGGAGUACGCACGCAAGUGUG